rnacentral:rRNA from 1 species
GCAUAUCAAUAAGCGGAGGAAAAGAAACUAACAAGGAUUCCCCUAGUAACUGCGAGUGAAGCGGGAAAAGCUCAAAUUUAAAAUCUGGCGGUCUCUGGCCGUCCGAGUUGUAAUCUAGAGAAGUGUUAUCCGCGCUGGACCGUGUACAAGUCUCCUGGAAUGGAGCGUCAUAGAGGGUGAGAAUCCCGUCUUUGACACGGACUGCCAGGGCUUUGUGAUGCGCUCUCAAAGAGUCGAGUUGUUUGGGAAUGCAGCUCCAAAUGGGUGGUAAAUUCCAUCUAAAGCUAAAUAUUGGCGAGAGACCGAUAGCGAACAAGUACCGUGAGGGAAAGAUGAAAAGAACUUUGGAAAGAGAGUUAAACAGUACGUGAAAUUGCUGAAAGGGAAACGCUUGAAGUCAGUCGCGUUGUCCGGGAAUCAACCUUGCUUUUGCUGGGCGUACUUUCCGGUCGACGGGUCAGCAUCAAUUUUGACCGUUGGAUAAAGUCUAGAGGAAUGUGGCAUCUUCGGGUGUGUUAUAGCCUCUGGUCGCAUACAACGGUUGGGAUUGAGGAACUCAGCACGCCGCAAGGCCGGGUACUCGUACCACGUUCGUGCUUAGGAUGCUGGCAUAAUGGCUUUAAUCGACCCGUCUUGAAACACGGACC